UUUUACUUGUCAACGCAAAAUUAUUAGUAUCUUGUUGUGUAUUAUUGUUAAAUAUGUCAAAAAUUUCGGUUAGAAAUGUUUUACAAUUCAUAUAUUUCCACGCGGUCUGCGUUUAACGUUAUUAUUGUUUGUUAUCGCCCUUGAUGUGAACAAAAAACGGUAAUAUUGUAUGAUGAAUUUUGGUAUAGGCUUAGGUUCUAAAACCGCGUGCGAUAGUUCAAAAGUAUCCCGUACCAACUCACGGUGCACGCGGGGUCCAUUGUUAAAUUCUUACCCUAGGUUAGUUCACCCUUACCCCUGGGCGUUGGCGCCCUGUCUCGUAGGCACCGUUGUUAGGAGGGGGCGUCCCUUUGGUUGAGGCAACCGCCGCUCACGUCUCGCCCGCCUUCCAUUAUCCGUUGCCGGCGCAUUCACCAGUACCACACGUCGCGUAUUCCGGGUAGUCUGCUAGUGUAGUAACUGUCGCAGACAUUUAUCACGACUGUCUACCGCCAGUCUAACGCCAACGUUAAUUUAUCUAGUACCGUAAUUUUGUUUCUUGUCUUGUAUUUAUCAGUUCGCACUCUUACAAGUGAAAAUAUCAUUAAUCGCCUUAUUGUUUCUAUGUUAAAGGUAAGAUGAAAUAUUGUUUUAUGGUUAUCGAUUUUCCGUUUACUGAACACGUGAGAACUUGAUCUAAAUUAAAAUUCGUUUUCUCUUUCAUUUUGUUAUGCAAACGUAAUACAUUUGCUUUUUAAUCGGAUCAAUCUAUUAACGUGAAUUUUUUUCCACACGAGUGUGACGUGUAUUUUUAAACUGUUGUAAUUAUUGAAUAUUUACGAGUUCCAAGUAGUCUGAAACUGUAAAACGUGAUUUGCUUAGUUCAUUUCUUUGUACUUAAAAUGAUAAUUGUUGAAUUAUAACAAUGGUUUUUGUGUGAUAUGUUCCAGCGUGUAGCGUUCAAAAACCAUUUUGUCGAAACAGAUGGCAAGCCUGUGUGUGUAUGUUUUAGAGUUGGCUGUUUGAAGGUCAAAGCCGGCUUCCUACGCGACCCCAACCCAACCCCCCACACACUCAUAUGCAACGAAUCACCCUAAUCUAACGAAAGAGAGAGUGAAUGAGAGUUUCUGUUUUCGUUGCGUUGUGUUCCUCGCCGUUAUUAUACAUUCAUGUACACUUCUUCCCCCAAAUUUGUGGAAAGUCACGAUAUUCGUGCUGUGUCCUGCUUGUAGAGGCGCGUCUACCGUUUUUCGUCAGUCCACGACCAUUUUGUUUUAAAACUACGUUUUGUUCGGUAUCAACCUAUUUUAAUAAAUACUAAACCCCGUUUGAUGUCCCCGGUUUGUAAUGAGUAAAAAAAAUCGAUUAUUAUUUAUCCCCACCAACCCUUUGCUGUUCAUCCCUUUUCCAAACAUCUGCCCUAAGACCCUUUCUCCGGCGAUGAAAAUGCAACAACAAAUCCGGCCAAUAUAGUGAAAAUUUUCUUUUCUAUUUAAUAAUACAUUUCUCAUAGUUGUCAAAUUUUAUAAAAUUAAAUCUUAACUACAAUUUAUUGAUUUUAUGUCAUCCAGCUACCAGACCAUUCUGCAGAAAUAGUUUUAGUAACUAUAAUAUCCGAUUAUGAUGGCGAGGUUAUCGACUUUUAAUGACCUCGUGCGGUUUACGUCUCCGGAACUGUCUUUGCGAACGAACGUGGAAUGCAUUUCCCCUCUUUGUGUUUUUUAAAGCUUCAAACAUAAAUAUAAGCAUUGAAAAAAAAAUUGUGUUGUCUAUAUGAAUUUAGUGAGUAAUAAACUACCGCCGCCACCAUAAUUAUCGGCAUCGCUUGUAGCCGAAGAUUAUUGUUGCCGCUGGCCGUGCACAGGUUACUAAGAGUUAUUGAACCUGACACAAGACAACCUUGAAUCACGACAGAAAUUUGGCGUAGCGGUAUUUGUUGUCGUCGUUGUCACUCAGUUUUAUCGCAGCAAUAAUAAUAACCAAGAACACGAGGUGAGGUAUUUUAUGUGUAUGUAAUAAUUUUAUAGUUAACAUCCAUGGAACUCGUAUCCAAAGAAUUUCGCUUGCGAAUAUUGUUCUCUAGUGUAAUCAUUGUAAUAAUAUUAGAAAUAAGUGAAUAGAUAUGUCGAAUUGAAAUCACUUGAGGUGGGGAGUGUUGCGAUAAAUCGUGAUUUCAAGCCGUGGUAACUCCAAACCAUUGCCGGUGUCUUGUAAUUCUUUUGUAUCCCGCAAUGGUUGGAAGUUCCUCAGUUUGAUCACGCAAAAUCUACACCAGCCGUCCAGUGGCCACGGUCACAGCACAUGUGUCUCGACAGCAAGAGAAGUCGUCCAGUUUUUUAUUUUGUAACGGGUUUUGGUAACUCCACCACCGAUUGCGUUUUUUUUUUUGUUUCAAAAAAUUGUUUUUGAACUCGCAGCCGGUGGUGACUGUUCCCACACGUUGUUACAAUACUUUCUACCUCGACUUGGGACCGUCUCAGUUCAUUAGUUAUUUAUGUGUUUUUUUUUAUUAUUAUUUAAAUCCAAUCUUUAAUACUGUUUAAAAAAAUCAUAACUCAUUGACCAUUAAUAUUAAUGUUAAGUCAACCGUAGUUUAUUUAAUUAUUAGUGUUAAGUACCAACUAAUAUCUCACUGUUUAACUUGAGUACUUCGAGGAUGCACGUGACACAUAGUUAAGUUUGAAUAGUUUUAAGAUAUUAUUUUGACCAAAUAAUCUGGGAGGAUACGAUUAAGUAGGAAUACCAUGUUUCCAUUUCGCUGAAGUUACUUUAAUUCCCGAGUGCUUUUCGUCGAACCUUAAAUAUUUUGAUUAUCUCAGAACUGAAAACUGUGAGUGGAAAUACGGUCUACUUGAUUUCCGAGUGUUAAAUAACGACAUACGACGUUAUUAUGGUUAUUAAGUGCACUACUAAUUGUAGAACUCUGAUGUAAGGCUGUUAAUUAAACUGUACCCGUUGGUAAUAUUUGACCAAAACUGGUUUGUCCGUAUUGAAAAAAAUGAAUAAUUUUGUGUAAAUCUCGGCGACCAAGAAGAUUAAAACGACGAGAGAAGAAUCACCGGAGGCCGUCGCAUAUUUGUCGAAGCAGCCGGAGCUCUAUAUAUAGCCCUCGCCCCCAUCGUGUCUCUAGACAACAGCAGACGCAAAGUCCAGAUUAGUGCGCCUAUUAAAAUAUGUACACGCGUGUACAAAUAGACUACAGGUCGUUUUUUUGUUGAAAAAAAUAACAUCCGACACUCCUAGAGCUGACCCUUCGUCUUGAAUUUCCACAUUAAAUGUUUUUAAAUUUCGCGUUUAACUAUAUUUUCCUGAUAAAUUAAACAUUAGUCCUAAAACCCGAGUUACUAUUGGUUUGCGCGUUUAUUGGAUCAUCCUAUGGAGUAGUAGUCGCCGUGUUUUGUUUUGUGUAUGUUCUUUUUAACAAAUCGUAAGUAAUUGCACAGACAUUGGUCGUCCAUGUGUGGUAAAGUGCGAUAGUAAAACAAACGGGCGUGGAGAAGUGUAAGAAGCGGCCAGUCUGUGCAAUGUGAGGUGAAUGGAUGGAAUUGUACCUACUUCUAGACCAUUGGCCGGACGUUCAACUCUUCUCUCCACGGUACGUGAACUCGAGUCAGUCGUUAUCGCCGCCAUUGCAAUUGUUAUAGUUGGACAGGAAACCAUCUGGAAAUUUUUUUUUUUUUUGAUUUUUUUGGCUAUGCAAUUUUGGCGUUUCAAAAAAUAACACAUUAAUGCGUUGGAAAUAGUCGUAUUUUAUUCUACAAACGUGUAAUCUUUCCGUUGUAUACAUUCACCUCAGACCGUCGUUAGUUAUUCUCGUUCGAAAAGAAUUUCUAAACGUUAUUUAUUCAAUUAAUAAUUUUCUUGUAUCUACUCGGGGGCGUUAUGAAAUAAAAACAAAGAAAUCUUCAAUCUAAAGAAUUAUUGCUAGUCGUGCCGUACAAAAUUACCGGCGUGAUGAAACAUACGGGUGCCAAUGACCAUGGGCCAAGGAUAACCGUUGGCCGUUUUUUUUAUUCUUUCUUUUUUUUUUUAUCGUGUACGGUUUAUACAUGACGGCACGCCCAUUUCUUAUUUAUGCACAUAUUGUACGUAUAAAUACAUUAAAGUAUGAUACAUUUAUAGGUACUUUACUACUUAUUAUAGUUUAUGUAAAAAAUGCCUGAGCCAUUAUACCAUAGUCUCAUAGGUACAAAACAUACACGCACAGAUGCAUCUUUUUUUAUAACCAGUCGACUUUGAUUGUGUUGUUACUCAACCAGGCUGAAGGUCGAAAAUUUCCACCGGCUAGAAAUAAAAACAUGUGCUACACAACCGUUGAGACAUCAUUUUAUUUAAAAUGUGCAACAUUAUGUCAUUUAUCGCUAUUUUUUGCAUGUAAUAUAUAAUAGGAAGAUAGUUGAUUUUUAGCUAUUAAACAAGGAGACAAGAAAAUUAUAACGAAUCGAUUUUAAAAAGUAUAAAUUUGAAGAUGAACUAAUAAUAAUAAUAAAUGAAAAUAAAUAUUAUACUCUUAAUUGCUGUGUUCGUAUAGUUAACUAAAUUUUAGACAUGAUUGUUGUACUUUUGAUGAACAAUGUGUCACUUUUAUUUUAACGAGUGUGACGAUGAGAAUAAAUAAAUAAUUCCCAUGGAUUUCUUAGGACACUUAAAUUUUAACUCACUAAAUUAAAAUUAUUCAUAGGGUCGAACUUAAGGUGUCGAGAAACGUGAAUUUGAAAACUAGUGAAAAACUUGAACAACUCAUUAAAAUUAGUUUUUUUCUACAAAUCUCCAAUUUAUUUUCUCAGGCUUUAGUAUAUACUUUUUAAAUUUUUUUAUGGGUUGGGUUCGGUGACAGAAUUUGAUAGUAUCUCUUUUGACCCCACUGAUUGCAUCUUAUUUGCCUAAGAGUUAAUGUUAAUUGACGUAUUCCAAUAAAUAUACCAAAAAAAGUGCUCUUAAAUCCAAAUUGUUUAAAUGAAAACCGAGAUAAAACUACUUUAUAUUUGUCCAUUCAUUAUAUUUAUCUUCAGCAUUUAGUCUAGUAAUAAUUACAAAUUUUUGAAGAAUCAGCUUUACUUUCCAUCUAAAUAGUUUUUUGUUUACUUUUUUGAAUUUAAUUAUUCUUUGUAACGUAAGUAUUGA